UGCAUUCACUACUGUAAGUCACUCUGGAUAAGAGUGUCUGCUAAGUGACUAAAA
rfam:Salmo salar isolate Sally breed double haploid chromosome ssa12, whole genome shotgun sequence.